rnacentral:rRNA from 1 species
CACGUAGGGGGCAAGCGUUGUCCGGAUUUAUUGGGCGUAAAGAGCUCGUAGGCGGUUCGGUAAGUCGGGUGUGAAACCUCCAGGCUCAACCUGGAGACGCCACCCGAUACUGCUGUGACUAGAGUCCGGUAGGGGAGCGUGGAAUUCCUGGUGUAGCGGUGAAAUGCGCAGAUAUCAGGAGGAACACCGGUGGCGAAGGCGGAUCUCUGGGCCUUGCCUGACGCUGAGGCGCGAAAGCUAGGGGAGCGAACAGG